UGCUGACGGCGGCCGUGGCGCUCCCAUUUAUAGCAGCGCAGCGGGCGCUGAUUGGUGCACGCUGCCCCGCCCCUCUCCGCCGCCGCUCGGCGCUCGGCGGCUCUGCUUGUGUUUCUUCGGGGAGAAUAAAGUGUGUUUUUUAUACUUUGUCCGCUACGAAACCGCCCUUUCUCUACAUCUGAGGGAGCGUUUGGGGGUCUAUAUUCACCUGUCGUUGUCUUGUUCUAGAAAGAGUUGCGUUCCGGCGCAGAGGGGACGAUAAAUCCCGUGUCCUGCAACCGAGCGGUCCUUCCGAGGGCGAAAGUUUUGUUUUUCUUUGUAAAUUACAAAUUCUCCUUUAAUGUUAGCGCGAAAGGACAAACUCGGCGUCAAUCUCCAGAGGGUCUUCUUUCCCUCUGAGCAGGAAGCGGGCGGCCAGAGCCCCGCUGUUCCGAACCACACGGCUCCAAAGCUGCCGAGGUAGCACAGCUGCCGGCAGCAGUGCCUGCGCGCUGCUCGCCCCGCUUCACUCCUCCGCCACCGCCAAGCGCUCCGUUGGGGAUAUUUCUCCCCAAACUUCCCAAGCUACGAUUCCCAGCGUGUCUGUGUGGCAUAGGAGAUGGUGUACAGUUUAUGCACCUCCGGAUGGGAGGCUUUUCGUGCAACCCUUUGCUGCUGUGAACGUGGCACAGGGAGCUUUAAUGGUAAUGGCUGGGCAGGGACAUGAAGACCAAAUAUGAAAACGUUUGUGUCGAACAGCUGAGACACGUGGAAGCCUCUGGCACACUGGAACAGGCCACAAAGCUAAAACAUGCAGUGCUAUUUAUGUACAGUGUGUUGGUGUGAUUCAGUAACAUGGAAAUAAUGGACAGAGCGCAUCUGCAGGGGAUGUGAAAAUGCCACUUCAUGCUUAUUUUGACUCCAAAAUAGGAAGAAAAAUCACCAUCUUUACCCUUACCUUUGGCUGCAGUGUGCAGUGACCCGAAGCUGUUUGGAUCUAAGCAUGCUCACUUCCCUGUCAGCUAACACUUUCUGUGUAUUUUGGUACUUGGCAGGAUUUCCUCGUUCAUUUAUCUUAAAGUUUGUCCAUUCACAGCCUUCACCCAUCGUAUUGCUGCAUUUGUGCCUAACGUGUACCAAUUGUUCUUGCAGGGUGCUGACCAGAUGCUCAGCUUCAUUGUUUCAACAAAACGGAAGAUUGGUGGCAGAGGAAAAAAAAAACACUUCACUCCCUUCUCCCAUUCCACCACAGGGAAGGUCACUUUCCAGUGUGUCACAUCCUUCUGCACAAGGGAGAGCAGGAAAUGGCAAACUCCCAGUAUGAGGCAAAGCAUUCCCAUUGCAGCAAUUGGUCCACAGGAGCUAUAAAUUGGUCUCCUCCAGAAACAGACCAAAAUUUGUCUGUGAGGAGGUCAGCCAGAAACUAAAGGUAAGUUUGAACCAGUAUUUCUUUUGAAUCUGUCUGAGUACUGUGCUAGGAAAGCAUUUACAGUUUAGUUGCAGACUGGGACUAAUGUACGCAUUAUUUCAUAAUGUUUUAAAAAACUAUUUCUUAUUAUUUGUUAAAAAAUUAUUAUUAAUUUAUUAACACAUAGAACUCAUUAUUUACUCUUAAUAGUAACUUAAUUAAACAGUUAUUGUGGGGGAUUUUUCUCUAAGAGUAGGAGAUGGCUUUGUUUUCCUUUAUGCUGGCAUAAAUCUGUGCAUUCAAAAGACGUGCAUCACUGUCAGGCUGAUGCUAUAGAUUAAAUGACUACUAACUGUGCAAAGAGAUGGCUGCUGGCAUUACCAGAGACAGUUCUCCACAAGAAAAUCUGCAGAACAAAAUGUUAAGAAGCCACAGGAAUCUAUAUAUUUAAUGAUCAUCAUAUUGAUCUGUUACUAAGUCACUGAUGAUGUGCUCAUUGCUUAUUUUGAUGCCGGUAUCUGUUUAGCUUAGUUUUAGUCCUUGUGCCUUCAGCUUAAUCUCUGACUAUAGAUUUAAAAAUAAGAGGACACUGCCUUCAGCUAAGAAAAGCACAGUGGACCAAGUGACUCAAAUAGCCCAAAGUUGAUAAAGGCCUAAGAGAGACUGAUAUGAUUGUUCUGAUGGUCAGAGGGGGCAGAGGAGGCCCUAGAGGAUUCCGUGUGAAAUGGAUUAGGAAAAGUAGAAAAGAAAAAUGACAGCAAGAGUUACUUAUUUACGCUCUUUAGGGUGGAAAGACUCCUAGUGAUAGAUGGUUUCCUUGUCCUGGAAGACAGGGAGUCUGCAGAACGAAAGCCCCGAGCAACCUAACCAUACAGUGUGCCCAGUGUGAGGGAUCAGGCCCCUCCGGUUCACACAA
rnacentral:lncRNA from 1 species